rnacentral:lncRNA from 1 species
CAAAAUAUAUUUAAGGAAACCACUCAACCUCCCUUGUGAAAGUUCCACUAAUUAGGAAAACUAAUCCCAUACGUUUUUCUCAACUUUGAGUGAUCCAACAACAAUGAAUUGUAGCUCAUAAGGGCUUAUUGCAAAUUAAAAGCACAUAGUGGGUGGCUAGUUUUCCAGAUGUUUUUACUUCUUCUUCUAUGAGCCUAAGCUAUUUUGGAUUAUAUGAACUUCAAGUAAGAAACUCGAGGAUUACCGUACAAUAUUGCUCUUGGAACUUCAAGAAUAGAAGAAAUGCAAGUGGAGCUUAAUGCAUUAAUUAUUUCUAUAAAGAGUAGUCACCUUUGUGGUAAGUAUGUACUUUUUCUCUCUUCACAUUUUUUAUAUGUGUGUGU